CCUUUUUCAAAAUGUGGCGGUGGCAGGGAAGGUUGUCUGCUCCAGAGGCUUCCCUAGAGUGAAGAGCUCUACUAUGUAUGCUUUAUGCGGCAGAAGGAGUGCUUUGGAGGAGUUUUUAAAUUUGUUUUUUUUUUAAAUCUUAUCGGUUUUAAUUGUAGCAAUGAUUCAAGAAACGUUAGUAGGUGCCCAUAACUUCGGUGGUGGAGAUCCAAAAGUGAACAAGACAGUGUUCUGGCUGCUAAAUUCUUCUUAACUGGUUAUGCCUGGAGACCUUCACUUGGUUCUGUGCCAGCACUGCCCAUGAACUUCAUAGACUGUGAUCUUUGCUAAGGCCUAAAUGAAUGAAGUGUACACUUCUUUGGUUCACUGGAACUGAACAACAGCUGAAUGUUUAACCUUGAGUGCAGGUGCAGGACCGGAAGCAGAAGACAGAAAGUGGAGACCAGAUGUUUGAAGCUGGGUAAAGGCAGGGAUGGAGCAGGAACCGAGGAACAAACCUUGGAACUAGUUGCACUUGCCCAAAGGAAGUUCUCGUUUGAUUGACUCUGUCUGCUGCUCCAUAGCGACUUUCCAGCUCUCAGGCCUGAUCCAAGGAGCCACAGAGCAUGCCCAUCAAGAGCUAUGUGGGACCAUGGGGGCGGGCCUGGGUUUUAUGUGAAGUAAUGGCUUUUCAAGCCUGGCAUGACAGUUCGCAGUCCAGCAUGGCAACCAGCAGCCCAGCAUGAAGGAGGCAGACAGUUGAACAGAUUAUUUUUAUGGCUUACUUAAAGAAAUAGUUUUGAUGUCAAAUCCAUUUUGGUUUCAAAUGGGAAAAUCAGAGUUAACCUCUCUAUACUAUUCAGAAAAAAUCAGCUGAAAAGUGCAGAAACCAAAUUGGUUUACCAACUGGUGGUCAUCAUGCCGAGAGCAUUAUAACCAAUGCUCUCCUCUUUGCAGUCCCUUCACCCCAGUUGACUAAUUGUUUAGAUCCAAUUAACUUUCAUUUGUUGUAUGUUGCAUAAACUGGACUUUACAACUAGGUAUAAGAAGAACAAGGAGGGAAGAAGAGUAUCUUCUUUGUAUUAAAUUAUGUCUCGUUUUUCACAAGAUAGUUCAUAUCUCCCUUUAAAUGUCAUAUAUGAUAUAUGCCUCUUUAAAUGUUGUGAUUGCUUGAAAGCCACUUGAUUGCCGAGCCCCAUAGAAGACAUAAUUUACAAGAAACUCAUAGAGACUCAAAAUGUAAGGUUCUCUGAAAGAAAUUGAGGUGUAGUUCUUAGGUUGGCUCUGAGAUGUAUAAAGGCACAGUGAAUUCCUGAAUCAUCCUUUGAUCUUCCACAAGACUCAGUAUCACUGAUUAACUACAAUUUGAAUAUAGUUCAUCACUGAAGGAAUGAGUGAGUGAAUGAGAAAGUGAGCAAAUGAGGCCGUGGAGGUCACUUAAA
rnacentral:lncRNA from 1 species